GAUGAACGCUGGCGGCGUGCCUAAUACAUGCAAGUCGAGCGAACGGACGAGAAGCUUGCUUCUCUGAUGUUAGCGGCGGACGGGUGAGUAACACGUGGAUAACCUACCUAUAAGACUGGGAUAACUUCGGGAAACCGGAGCUAAUACCGGAUAAUAUUUUGAACCGCAUGGUUCAAAAGUGAAGGACGGUCUUGCUGUCACUUAUAGAUGGAUCCGCGCUGCAUUAGCUAGUUGGUGAGGUAACGGCUUACCAAGGCAACGAUGCAUAGCCGACCUGAGAGGGUGAUCGGCCACACUGGAACUGAGACACGGUCCAGACUCCUACGGGAGGCAGCAGUAGGGAAUCUUCCGCAAUGGGCGAAAGCCUGACGGAGCAACGCCGCGUGAGUGAUGAAGGUCUUCGGAUCGUAAAACUCUGUUAUUAGGGAAGAACAUAUGUGUAAGUAACUGUGCACAUCUUGACGGUACCUAAUCAGAAAGCCACGGCUAACUACGUG
rnacentral:rRNA from 1 species